CACCCGUGAUACGUCCGUCCACUGGAGGGCGUCUGGAUCCCCAGAUGGGUCUUUGAGGCCUUCAUGGCUGGCUUUGCUCUGGAUCUUCAGUGGUGCACACAGCUAAGGAAGAUCUUAUGAUUGAUGCUGUCUUCAAUUCACUGGAUCACAUAGCAUCAUAGCAGAGCCACGAAAAGAAUGCUUCUGAAUUCAAAAGCAGAUGACGUACCAUGGUGAUAACGGAAAAGCCCAUCGCUCAAUUUGCACUGCCCGAAACAUCGAUCAAUUUUUGAGAAGAAAAUGGAAUUUUCAGAGCUCUCACGCUCCUCCUAGAUAUUGGAAGCAUAAAAUAACGCACCACAUGCCAACGUGGAUAAGCCCCGCAGCAGGCAGCAUCUCACUGUAACCCCUGGAUGCAAGCCAGCCAACUUGUACAUCGUGGGACAGGACUUUUCAGAUUUGCUAAAGUGACAGCAUGCUUUAUCACAGGAGACAUCUUGAAGAAUGGUGCUCCAGGAAUGGCGUCAUGAGAAAUGCGAUUGUCAAAUUGUAAGCGUUCAAAGCAGAGGGAUAGUGCUGUUUUCUUCCAC